GUUAUCACUUCAGCAACACAUACACUAAAAUUGGAAAGAUACUUAGAAGAUUAGUAUGGCCCCUGUUAAAGGAUGAUACAUAAAUUCAUGAAGCAUUCCAUAUUUUU
ensembl:snRNA U6 U6 spliceosomal RNA